GGGGAUUUAGCUCAGUGGUAGAGCGCUUGCCUAGCAAGCACAAGGCCUGAAGCGCAAGGCCUGAAGCGCAAGGCCCUGGGUUCGGUCCCCAGCUCCG
rnacentral:tRNA from 1 species